rnacentral:rRNA from 1 species
AUUGAACGCUGGCGGCAGGCCUAACACAUGCAAGUCGAACGAGUGGCGGACGGGUGAGUAAUGUCUGGGAAACUGCCCGAUGGAGGGGGAUAACUAAUGGAAACGGUAGCUAAUACCGCAUACCAUCGGAUGUGCCCAGAUGGGAUUAGCUAGUAGGUGGGGUAACGGCUCACCUAGGCGACGAUCCCUAGCUGGUCUGCGAGGAUGACCAGCCACAUGGGAACUGAGACACGGUCCAGACUCCUGAGGGAAGGAGCAGUGGGGAAUAUUGCACAAUGGGCGCAAGCCUGAUACAGCCAUGCCGCGUGUAUGAAGAAGGCUUUCGGGUUGUAAAGUACUUUAAGCGAGGAGGCGUUACUCGCAGAAGAAGCACCGGCUAACUCCGUGCCAGCAGCCGCGGUAAUAC